GGGUUGUGAGGUUAAGCGACUAAGCGUACACGGUGGAUGCCCUGGCAGUCAGAGGCGAUGAAGGGCGUGCUAAUCUGCGAUAAGCGCCGGUAAGGUGAUAUGAACCGUUAUAACCGGCGAUACCCGAAUGGGGAAACCCAGUGUGACUCGUCACACUAUCAUUAACUGAAUCCAUAGGUUAAUGAGGCGAACCGGGGGAACUGAAACAUCUAAGUACCCCGAGGAAAAUAAAUCAACCGAGAUUCCCCCAGUAGCGGCGAGCGAACGGGGAGGAGCCCAGAGCCUGAAUCAGCAUGUGUGUUAGUGGAAGCGUCUGGAAAGGCGCGCGAUACAGGGUGACAGCCCCGUACACAAAAGCGCAUGUGCUGUGAGCUCGAUGAGUAGGGCGGGACACGUGGUAUCCUGUCUGAAUAUGGGGGGACCAUCCUCCAAGGCUAAAUACUCCUGACUGACCGAUAGUGAACCAGUACCGUGAGGGAAAGGCGAAAAGAACCCCGGCGAGGGGAGUGAAAAAGAACCUGAAACCGUGUACGUACAAGCAGUGGGAGCCCCACCACCAAAGCAUUCUCUGGUGUUGAAGGCCCUGCAAAGCAGCAUCGCGGUGGCGGAGCGUCGUUUGCGACGCCCAACACACAAAACAAGCGGUGAGUGCUUUGGGGUGGGGUGACUGCGUACCUUUUGUAUAAUGGGUCAGCGACUUAUAUUCUGUAGCAAGGUUAACCGAAUAGGGGAGCCGGAGGGAAACCGAGUCUUAAUUGGGCGUUAAGUUGCAGGGUAUAGACCCGAAACCCGGUGAUCUAGCCAUGGGCAGGUUGAAGGUUGGGUAACACUAACUGGAGGACCGAACCGACUAAUGUUGAAAAAUUAGCGGAUGACCUGUGGCUGGGGGUGAAAGGCCAAUCAAACCGGGAGAUAGCUGGUUCUCCCCGAAAGCUAUUUAGGUAGCGCCUCGUGAAUUCAUCUCCGGGGGUAGAGCACUGUUUCGGCUAGGGGGUCAUCCCGACUUACCAACCCGAUGCAAACUGCGAAUACCGGAGAAUGUUAUCACGGGAGACACACGGCGGGUGCUAACGUCCGUCGUGAAGAGGGAAACAACCCAGACCGCCAGCUAAGGUCCCAAAGUCAUGGUUAAGUGGGAAACGAUGUGGGAAGGCCCAGAC
rnacentral:rRNA from 1 species